AUACGAGUUUAGUCAAACUCUUCUAAACAACUUUCCUAUAUUUUCCUUUGGUUGUUUAUAUUGUGAUGGUGUUUGUCAAGGUCUACCAUACCGGCCCAUACCUUUGAGAUUUGGUUUGGUAUAUGAGCCGAAUCGGUCUGAACCAAGCAAAACUGCUCCAUACUGCCUAGCAUCGACCGUACCGCCCAAUUUUGGGUGGUAGCAUGGGUGGGAGUGAGAAAAGUAUUGGAAGCAUGUUCCGGUUAGGGUGCAUACCGUUCCGUACCGACCAUAUUGUAUUGAACUAGUAAUAUACCAAUAUGGUUCUCAGCAUGGUCUGCCGUACCGAUCCGUACCGGUCCGGCCUGGGAUCGGUACCGGAUCAGCGUGGAAUCCGGUACCGGUAGUUUAUGGUUGAAAA
rnacentral:lncRNA from 1 species